AGAGUUUGAUCCUGGCUCAGAAUGAACGCUGGCGGCGUGCUUAACACAUGCAAGUCGAGCGAGAAAGCUCUUUCGGGAGUGAGUAAAGCGGCGGACGGGUGAGUAACGCGUAAGAAUCUACCUUUCAGUGAAGAAUACCCUCGAGAAAUCGAGGCUAAUGCUGCAUACGUCCCUUUGGGGAGAAAAGUGGCCUCUUGCUGCUGCUGAAAGAUGAGCUUGCGUACUAUUAGCUUGUUGGUAGGGUAAAAGCCUACCAAGGCGAUGAUGGUUAACCGGCCUGAGAGGGUGUACGGUCACACUGGAACUUAGAUACGGUCCAGACUCCUACGGGGGGCAGCAGUGAGGAAUAUUGCGCAAUGGGCGAAAGCCUGACGCAGCGACGCCGCGUGGAGGAUGAAGGUCUUAGGAUCGUAAACUCCUGUUAAGUGGGAAGAAAGACUUGUCCUUAAUACGGAUAAGGGAUGACGGUACCAUUAGAGAAAGCACCGGCUAACUUCGUGCCAGCAGCCGCGGUAAUACGAGGGGUGCAAGCGUUAUUCGGAAUCAUUGGGCGUAAGGGGUGUGUAGGCGACAGAUUAAGUCAACUGUUAAAUUUUCCGGCCUAACCGGAAACUUGCAGUAGAUACUGGUCUGAUAGAGGAUGGAAGAGAGAAGUGGAAUUCUCGGAGUAGCGGUAAAAUGCGUGGAUCUCGAGAGGAACACCAAUGGCGAAGGCAGCUUCUUGGUCCAUUCCUGACGCUGAGACACGAAAGCGUGGGGAGCAAACAGGAUUAGAUACCCUGGKAGUCCACGCUGUAAACGAUGAUCACUAGACGUUAGUCUUGUUUUACAAGAUUAGUGUCGUAGCUAACGCGUUAAGUGCCCCACCUGGGGAGUACGAUCGCAAGGUUGAAACUCAAAGGAAUUGACGGAGGCCCGCACAAGCGGUGGAGCAUGUGGUUUAAUUCGACGCAACGCGAAGAACCUUACCUGGACUUGACAUGCAGGGGACAGGUGUAGAAAUACACCCUUUCUUCGGAACUCUUGCACAGGUGCUGCAUGGCUGUCGUCAGCUCGUGUCGUGAAAUGUUGGGCUAAGUCCCGCAACGAGCGCAACCCCUGCUUUUAGUUACCAUCAGGUUAUGCUGGGGACUCUAAAAGGACUGCCGGUGACAAACCGGAGGAAGGUGGGGACGACGUCAAGUCAUCAUGGCCCUUACGUCCAGGGCUACACACGUGCUACAAUGGUCGGUACAAUGGGCUGCAAUACUGCGAAGUGGAGCGAAUCCCAAAAAGCCGGCCUCAGUUCGGAUUGGAGUCUGCAACUCGACUCCAUGAAGUCGGAAUCGCUAGUAAUCGCGCAUCAGCACGGCGCGGUGAAUACGUUCCCGGGCCUUGUACACACCGCCCGUCAAGUCAACCGAGUUGGCUGCACCCCAAGUCGCUGAGCUAACCCCGUAAGGGGAGGCAGGUGCCCAAGGUGUGGUUGAUAAGGGGGACUAAGUCGUAACAAGGUAACC
rnacentral:rRNA from 1 species